GAGUUCCCUCUUGGGAGGCUCCGGCUCGGGCGGCGGUGGGGGUGCUGCCGGGCGUAAGGACACCGGUCGGAGGGAUGUGAUGGAGGUAAGAGGAGGAAGGACGAAUGGAGAAGGAGGCAUGGGACGGGACAAGACUGGUGAUAAGGCAGGUGGGAGAGGAGGAGGAGGCGGAGGGACUGGAUGUGGAGGAACAGGUGAUGAUGACGAUGAGAAUGGCUGGGAUACAGCACAUGAUGAUGAUGACGGCCAGGGCCAGCAGGGCUCCUUCGGUGUAUCCAACAGACUGAACCGCCUUCUUUACGCUCUCCACCACAUCCGGUGUGCGGAUCUCCAGAAUGCGUCCUCCGCGACCUAGGCUGAACGGGAGCUGUUUUGAACACAGAGGUGCGCUGAGGACAAAUACAAAGCAAUGGCUGAAAUGAGCUGUGUAAGACAGUGUUGCUUCAAAGCUGGUGUCCUUGUCUCGCAGUAGGUGCCUUUAUUACCCCUCAGCUCACAUCUCAGAGCAGCCAGCCCUCCUCAGCCAAUUACCUGCAGUGACUCCGAUAUCCCCCCUUCACAGCUGCCGAGGGGAAAUAAGAACACGGGACACAAAAGAACAGAGGCUGGAAUGAUGACUCUAAAGGAACAAGGAACAGGUUUUCCGAGGAAACAACCUGACAAGAGAUGAUGAGGAGGUUUGGGAAAACUCAGGCUGUGAGUUAUAUCACCUGAGGCAGAAAAUGUGUGUUAGUGUCUGUGUAUAUACUAGGAAUAUUAAGAUGUGUUUAUGUCUCCGUAUUAGCACUGUACAAUCUCAGCACUUUCCUGUCUAUGUGAAAAUGAAUACUCGCAUCUUUGUGUCGUUCCAGAACCAAAAGAAUUUCCAGUUACACUUGAGUAC